rnacentral:rRNA from 1 species
CCUACGGGAGGCAGCAGUGAGGAAUAUUGGUCAAUGGCCGAGAGGCUGAACCAGCCAAGUCGCGUGAGGGAAGACGGCCCUACGGGUUGUAAACCUCUUUUGUCGGGGAGCAAAGCGAGUCACGUGUGACUCAUUGAGAGUACCCGAAGAAAAAGCAUCGGCUAACUCCGUGCCAGCAGCCGCGGUAAUACGGAGGAUGCGAGCGUUAUCCGGAUUUAUUGGGUUUAAAGGGUGCGUAGGCGGUCCGGAAAGUCAGCGGUAAAAGCCCGGGGCUCAACCCCGGCGAGCCGUUGAAACUGUCGGAG